rfam:Silicibacter lacuscaerulensis ITI-1157 genomic scaffold scf_1113211289287, whole genome shotgun sequence.
GCACCUGUAGCUCAGCUGGAUAGAGCGCUGCCCUCCGAAGGCAGAGGCCAGAGGUUCGAAUCCUCUCAGGUGCG